AUAAGUUUUGUUGAGAUGAUUACUUUUGUGCUAUUUUAUUUUAUUCUGAUGCAUAUAAUUUAAUGCUAAUCAGAGACUAUGAAAAAAACACAUGGAGACAUAUAUUUCAUUAAACGGACACAGGGGGGCAGUAACAACGAGUGCCGCGUCACAAUUAGCGAUGCACAGAGCAAGACGAGCUCAUAAUCCGAGUGAAUGGAGUAUGAGCAACAGUUGUCCUGCUUCACUGAUUUCUUUAUAUUAUUUGUAAUAUUUUCAGGGCACUCCGAUCAGAGGAUUAUAUAUAUACAUCUGCCAGUGGGGACCUAGUCGGGACCCGCUACACAUACAAUGGCUGCCAUAAGAAAGAUAUUAGACGUGGAUGAAGUGCUUACCCAACACAAUAUUGCAGGAAAGAAAUCCAGAGAAUGGGAUCAGGGUUCAAGCAGGAGUGAAGGGAACCAGCUGGAAGCAUGUGAUUGAGGACAAGCAAAACAGCUGCUGGCCCAUUUUUCCAAUAUAUGUACAGUAGCACAAUGUCACAUCCACAGAUGGUCUCAUCUCUCUUCAGUCAUUCUGCAGGUAAAUGUAGAUGCCCAUUAUUCAAUCCAGUGCUCCAACAGGCAUGUAAUUACCGCAGGGUCUGCAGAGAGCCACAGAGAACUUGACAACACGCAGCGUAGAUAAAGACACAGUGCUCAAGCAAAAAACUGCAGGACUAUAUGCAAAACACAUCUCACCAAGUACUAUGGUAAUGUAUACACAGGCCUCAUUACAUGGCAGAGAAGAAAUGAUAGUCUAGGAUCAUGCA